rnacentral:misc_RNA from 1 species
GAUGAAGAACGCAGCGAAAUGCGAUACUUGGUGUGAAUUGCAGAAUCCCGUGAACCAUCGAGUCUUUGAACGCAAGUUGCGCCCGAAGCCACUAGGCCGAGGGCACGCCUGCCUGGGCGUCACACGUCGUUGCCCCCCCAUCUACUCCUUCGGGAUUGCGGGGGGGCGGAUGAUGGCCUCCCGUGCGCCUAGCCGCGCGGUUGGCAUAAAUACCAAGUCCUCGGCGACGCACGCCACGACAAUCGGUGGUUGCGAAACCUCGGUUGCCCGUCGUGUGCGUUCGUCGCGCAUCGAGGGCUCGAAAAAAUGCUCGGCUCCGGCUGGGCUUUCAACGCGACCCCAGGUCAGGCGGGGUUACCCGCUGAGUUUAAGCAUAUCAAUAAGCGGAGGA